rnacentral:misc_RNA from 1 species
UCUCCGUAGGUGAACCUGCGGAGGGAUCAUUACAGAGUUCUCGCCCUCGCGGGUCGUUCUCCCACCCACUGUUAUCGUUAAUGUCGUUUCUUUCACGGGCCGCCGGGUCCACGGACGCCGGCGUCUAUUACGCAGCGAGCGCCCGCCCGAGGCAAUCAAACACUUAAUGUAAGUAUCGUCGUAUUACUAUAUCCUAAUAAAAACUUUCAACAACGAAUCCCUUGGUUCUGGCAUCGCUGAAGACCGCAGCAGAUCGGAAAGGCACACUUCUGACCUCCA